UGGGGAAUCUUGCACAAUGGGGGAAACCCUGAUGCAGCGACGCCGCGUGAGCGAUGAAGGCCUUCGGGUUGUAAAGCUCUUUCGGCAGGGAAGAUUAUGACGGUACCUGCAGAAGCAGCUGCGGCUAACUACGUGCCAGCAGCCGCGGUAAUACGUAGGCAGCAAGCGUUGUUCGGAGUUACUGGGCGUAAAGGGUGUGUAGGCGGUGACUUAAGUUUGGUGUGAAAUCUCCCGGCUCAACCGGGAGGGUGCGCCGAAUACUGAGUGACUUGGAGUGCGGGAGAGGAGAGUGGAAUUCCUGGUGUAGCGGUGAAAUGCGUAGAUAUCAGGAGGAACACCGGUGGUGUAGACGGCUCUCUGGACCGUAACUGACGCUGAGACACGAAAGCGUGGGUAGCAAACAG
rnacentral:rRNA from 1 species